rnacentral:lncRNA from 1 species
CACUUCAGAGCAGGCGAACUUUGAAGGUGUCUUCAUUGAAAAAGAUGAGGAAGUUGCUGAGUUUAUGAAAUACAUUCAGAGACACACAAAUGAUCGUCCCAGGACAUAUUACGUUCCUUUGCUCCGAUGUGUCCUGUAAAUAUUUCCCAUAUUUAAUCAAGGUGGCUCAGCUGAGGAACCCCUUGUCAAUGCGUCCUUUUCUCUCCGUCAUGCAUGCAAAGGCUCUCAUUUGGAAAUGCGAGGGCGAACAGACAUGCUGACCCUCCUGGCUUUGGGGUGGACCAAAAGGAAAGUGGAACAACUGGGCCGCAGUUUGAGCCAGAGAUAUCUCAAGAUCAUAAGGAUCCUUAGAGAACAAGUGGAGAGCCUGAAUGCGACCAAAAAUGAGCUGUGUGUGGAUGACGACACACUGCAGCAAUGGGUGGCCGAUGUGCAGAAAUGGGCUGAAGAAACUGAUCAAACUGAUGGCAGCUUUGGAGCGUUGCAGGCACGAAUAGAGGAGCUUGUCGUCAUCAUCAGAGUGCGAACACAAAGUCUUUACAGACAAAAUGAUAGCAACAAGAGGCGACACAGAAUUCGCAAGGUCAUAUUAGAUGAGAAAAAACGCUUGGCGGGUGCUGUUGACGACUACAACAAGCUUGCUGAACCAACAAAGCAAAUCGUAUCCAGUGAUGCCCUCAUGCAGACCGACAUUUGGCCCUGGCAGAGCACAAGUGAACCUGCUGCUGACGUCCGGACAAAGAGAAAGGUCUUUGAGAAGGUGAUGGCUGUGAGGCGCCUGAGAGAGGAGGAGAUGAUCCUUUGCAGGGAGAUGCAGCAUCACUGGACAGUGUUGCGAAUGCGAUCUGUGGUGUUGGGGACAAUCUCCUCAGACUCCUCCCUUGUUGGCAUGUCGGAGGAUGCACAGAAGGGACUCCGUAGCCUGGUUUUAAAAAAACAAAGUGAACUGAAAGCUGAAAUGCUCAAAAUAAAGGACAUGUACAAGAGAAUCCUCAGCCACCAACCACUCCUGGAAAUGGACUCGGAGGACGAGGACAUUCCAGACGAUGCCACUGAGAGUGAUUUGAGCACUUCUGAUGAAGACUGAUUGUGUCACCAUUGAUGUUAUUUUUGGUAAAAUAAAAAGUUAAUCACAUCUCUGUUUAAUGUGAUUUUUCAACAGACAUUUUACAUUUUGAGAAGAAAAAUGUAAUUCCCUUGGUGCAGUUGUUUACCCAUAAUCAUGCUUUCCCAUGUAAUUUAAU